GCAAUACUAUAUUGUACUAUAUUUAAAUAAUUUAAAAAUAUCCUAGUUAAAUAUUUUAUCGUUUUUUUACUAUUUGUUUCUUAUCUGCAAUUUUACUUUAUAAUUAGGCAUAUUUACUUUCAUUUGAAAAAUACAUUUACUGGUCACCACUCCUUCAGGGAAAAUUUAUGUAACACUACGUACAUCUGCAGAUUCCAUUAGAUUUUUUCCAUUUCAAAUAGAUUUAGGUCUAAAGAAUUCUUGCCACUGAAUAAUUGGAUUGAAAUUUCACGUUAAUUGUACUCCUAUGUUCAUCAUGAUUAUACUUGUUAUUACAAUGUAAAUUAUUGUUUACCAGCCGUUAAUUCUAAAAACUGCCACUAGAGCGCCGCUACUACAGCGCACCAAACGGGUUUCUAUGAGCCUAUUAUUUGUGUUAGUUCGAUUGUCAUUUCUACUAUUUUCUAUGAGUUUGUUAGUUUGGCUCCCAUCAAAAACUUUGCCAAGAUUAACUAUUUCAGCAAAACUUUUGCCAAAAGUGUUAAAUGUUUUGUUUGGUUGUUCUUUUGUUUUAUUUUCAGCUCUAAUUGUCUUUAUAAUUCCGCAUAUUUUAUUGGAAGCUGAAUGGAUUUGUAAUGUGAGGUCCCAGAAAAACCUCCAUAAAUUAAGUGUAUAAAAGAGAAGAGAUUAGAAAAAUAAGAAAGUUUA
rnacentral:lncRNA from 1 species